rnacentral:rRNA from 1 species
UGGGGAAUCUUGCACAAUGGGCGAAAGCCUGAUGCAGCAACGCCGCGUGCGGGAAGAAGGCCCUAGGGUUGUAAACCGCUUUCAGCAGGGAAGAAAAUGACGGUACCUGCAGAAGAAGGUGCGGCCAACUACGUGCCAGCAGCCGCGGGGACACGUAGGCACCAAGCGUUAUCCGGAUUUAUUGGGCGUAAAGAGCUCGUAGGCGGUUCGGUAAGUCGGGUGUGAAAACUCUGGGCUCAACCCAGAGAGGCCACUCGAUACUGCUGUGACUAGAGUGCGGUAGGGGAGCGGGGAAUUCAUGGUGUAGCGGUGAAAUGCGCAGAUAUCAUGAGGAACACCAGUGGCGAAGGCGCCGCUCUGGGCCGUAACUGACGCUGAGGAGCGAAAGCAUGGGUAGCAAACAGGAUUAGAUACCCUGGUAGUCCAUGCCGUUAAACGUUGGGCACUAGGUGUGGGUCUCGAACCAACGAGAUCCGCGCCGUCGCUAACG